GGGUUGUGAGGUUAAGCGACUAAGCGUACACGGUGGAUGCCCUGGCAGUCAGAGGCGAUGAAGGACGUGCUAAUCUGCGAUAAGCGUCGGUAAGGUGAUAUGAACCGUUAUAACCGGCGAUUUCCGAAUGGGGAAACCCAGUGUGAUUCGUCACACUAUCAUUAACUGAAUCCAUAGGUUAAUGAGGCGAACCGGGGGAACUGAAACAUCUAAGUACCCCGAGGAAAAGAAAUCAACCGAGAUUCCCCCAGUAGCGGCGAGCGAACGGGGAGCAGCCCAGAGCCUGAAUCAGUGUGUGUGUUAGUGGAAGCGUCUGGAAAGGCG
rnacentral:rRNA from 2 species